GACGAACGCUGGCGGCGUGCUUAACACAUGCAAGUCGAACGGAAAGGCCCUGCUUUUGUGGGGUGCUCGAGUGGCGAACGGGUGAGUAACACGUGAGUAACCUGCCCUUGACUUUGGGAUAACUUCAGGAAACUGGGGCUAAUACCGGAUAGGAGCUCCUGCUGCAUGGUGGGGGUUGGAAAGUUUCGGCGGUUGGGGAUGGGCUCGCGGCUUAUCGGCUUGUUGGGGGGGUAGUGGCUUACCAAGGCUGUGGCGGGUAGCCGGCCUGGGAGGGGGGCCGGGGACAUGGGGACUGAGGGACGGCGCAGGGGGGUACGGGAGGCAGCGGGGGGGAGUAUGGCGGAGUGGGGGGGAGCGUGAGGCGGCGGCGCCGGGUGCGGGAUGACGGGCUUCGGGGUGUGAACCGCUGUGGCCGGUGACGAGGCGGGAGUGACGGUAAUGGGUAAAGAAGCACCGGCUAACUACGUG
rnacentral:rRNA from 1 species